UGGCGAAGGUCCCAGCAGGAAGGGUGUGAAACUCUUUGAAUCGAAACCUUUCUAACAAAUUAACAAAUGCCUUCGCAAAUCCAUUUUGCGGAAUCGUAGGAUGCCCAAUACUCCAUCUUUGGAGCGUCUUGAACCUUCGGCUACAUUUUC